rnacentral:rRNA from 1 species
UACGAAGGGGGCUAGCGUUGCUCGGAAUUACUGGGCGUAAAGGGCGCGUAGGCGGCCAGUUUAGUCAGAGGUGAAAGCCCAGGGCUCAACCUUGGAAUUGCCUUUGAUACUGGCCGUCUUGAGUUCGGGAGAGGUGAGUGGAAUGCCGAGUGUAGAGGUGAAAUUCGUAGAUAUUCGGCGGAACACCAGUGGCGAAGGCGACUCACUGGCCCGAUACUGACGCUGAGGCGCGAAAGCGUGGGGAGCAAACAGG